GCCUUUCGCCACCCAAAUCCAACUGAGCCUCAUAGUUGUACCCACAACUACCCAUCUGGUUACUACAGUUUUAGACCUCCCUACUCUCAGAUGCAAAUGCCUCAGAUGUACUACCAUGGUCCCUAUCCACCUUAUUCUGACCCAUAUCAUAAUUACUUCGUUCCACCUCCACAAUAUUCGGUUGAUCAUGCCCAGUAUGAUCCUGAUAAGGCCAAAUACCAUUGCUGUGGAUGCCCAAACCAUAGUUGCAGUCGGAGUGGUAGCAGUGUGAAGAUUGAAGAACACCCACAUGAAUCAGAGCCUGGUCACAAAGAUUUGUCUAGCUUGGUCCAAUUGCCAAAUUCUCCUCAUCCAGUUGUAUGGUUUCCUCCUGGUUACUUAAAGGGUGGCAACGAUUCUGGGUCGUGGUUUCCGCUGGAUAUUAAUGCCCUCAAGGGCAUGAGUCAAGGAGGAGAGGAGAAGAAUAUUAGGGAUGUUCACGACGGAAAAAUGCAGUUUCCAUGGCCUAUAAUG
rnacentral:misc_RNA from 1 species